rnacentral:rRNA from 1 species
UACGGAGGGGGCGAGCGUUAUUCGGAAUUAUUGGGCGUAAAGGGCGCGUAGGCGGCCUGAUAAGUCAGGGGUGAAAUCCCUCGGCUCAACCGAGGAAUUGCCCUUGAAACUGCCAGGCUAGAGGCCGGGAGAGGGUGGUGGAAUUCCAAGUGUAGCGGUGAAAUGCGUAGAUAUUUGGAGGAACACCAGUGGCGAAGGCGGCCACCUGGACCGGUUCUGACGCUGAGGCGCGAAAGCGUGGGGAGCAAACAGG